rnacentral:rRNA from 1 species
GUGGGGAAUUUUGCGCAAUGGGGGCAACCCUGACGCAGCAACGCCGCGUGCGGGACGACGGCCUUCGGGUUGUAAACCGCUUUCAGCAGGGAAGAAAUUCGACGGUACCUGCAGAAGAAGCUCCGGCUAACUACGUGCCAGCAGCCGCGGUAAUACGUAGGGAGCGAGCGUUAUCCGGAUUCAUUGGGCGUAAAGAGCGCGUAGGCGGCCUCUCAAGCGGGAUCUCUAAUCCGAGGGCUCAACCCCCGGCCGGAUCCCGAACUGGGAGGCUCGAGUUCGGUAGAGGCAGGCGGAAUUCCCGGUGUAGCGGUGGAAUGCGCAGAUAUCGGGAAGAACACCGAUGGCGAAGGCAGCCUGCUGGGCCGCAACUGACGCUGAGGCGCGAAAGCUAGGGGAGCGAACAGGAUUAGAAACCCCAGUAGUCC